rnacentral:rRNA from 1 species
UACGGAGGGGACUAGCGUUGUUCGGAAUUACUGGGCGUAAAGCGCACGUAGGCGGAUUGUUUAGUCAGGGGUGAAAUCCCGAGGCUCAACCUCGGAACUGCCUUUGAUACUGGCAAUCUCGAGUCCGGAAGAGGUGAGUGGAAUUCCUAGUGUAGAGGUGAAAUUCGUAGAUAUUAGGAAGAACACCAGUGGCGAAGGCGGCUCACUGGUCCGGUACUGACGCUGAGGUGCGAAAGCGUGGGGAG